GCUAUUUGCUUCCUCCUUACCCGACUCUCUCUCCCUCUCUUACUCUCUUGAUUUUUUCAACUUGAUUUGGUGAGAAAUAAGCUUGGAUUGAAGCUUAGUUUUGGGGAAAUCUUUGUUCUUGCUUUUGGUGUGAUUUUAAGGAUUACCGGCACCUGAUCAGGAGCACCCGGGGAUUUGGAAUCUCCUUCUAUAGCUGGAAAACAGGAAAGGGUAAGGCAUUAGCUGAUCAGCCAUGAGUUUCUGGAGCAGGACGAAGAAUGUACAUGUUCACGCCACUUCAGACCAAGCGGGUUAUGGGUCUAACAGUGUUGACUUUUGUAUUCCGUUUUGCCGCUUAGGUCGGCUAGUAAGAAAGAACUUGUAAUAAGUUUGUAAAUAUUUUUGGGAUCCCAACUAUUUUGAAAAGUUUAAAUAUAUUACAAGUUUAUUUU